CUGGUACUCCCUCCGUCCGAAAAUACUUGUCAUCAAAAUGGACAAAAAUGGAUGUAUCUAGAACUAAAAUACAUCUAGAUACAUCCCCUUUUAUUUAUUUUGAUGAUAAGUAUUUUCGGACGGAGGGAGUAUGAG
rnacentral:pre_miRNA from 1 species